rnacentral:rRNA from 1 species
CGUGGGGAACCUACCUUCUAGCGGGGGAUAACACAUAGAAAUGUGUGCUAAUACCGCAUAAUAGUAUUUGAUGCAUAUCAGAUAUUUGAAAGGCGCAAUUGCGUCACUAGAAGAUGGCCCCGCGGUGCAUUAGCUAGUUGGUGAGGUAAUGGCUCACCAAGGCAAUGAUGCAUAGCCGACCUGAGAGGGUGAUCGGCCACACUGGGACUGAGACACGGCCCAGACUCCUACGGGAGGCAGCAGUAGGGAAUCUUCGGCAAUGGACGCAAGUCUGACCGAGCAACGCCGCGUGAGUGAAGAAGGUUUUCGGAUCGUAAAACUCUGUUGUAAGAGAAGAACGUUGAUGAGAGUGGAAAGUUCAUCAAGUGACGGUAUCUUACCAGAAAGCCACGGCUAACUACGUGCCAGCAGCCGCGGUAAUACGUAGGUGGCAAGCGUUGUCCGGAUUUAUUGGGCGUAAAGCGAGCGCAGGCGGUUGAUUAAGUCUGAUGUGAAAGCCCCCGGCUCAACCGGGGAGGGUCAUUGGAAACUGGUCAACUUGAGUGCAGAAGAGGAGAGUGGAAUUCCAUGUGUAGCGGUGAAAUGCGUAGAUAUAUGGAGGAACACCAGUGGCGAAGGCGGCUCCCUGGUCUGUAGCUGACGCUGAGGCUCGAAAGCGUGGGGAGCGAACAGGAUUAGAUACCCUGGUAGUUCACGCCGUAAACGAU